UGGGUUGUGGUUCAGUGGUAGAAUGCUUGCCUACCAUGCAUGAGACACUGGGUUUGAUCCUCAGCACCACAU
rnacentral:tRNA from 1 species